CAAGUCCUUCUCCUGAGGGCUGCUCUCAGUCCAUUCUCCACCUAACCUGUAUUUGUGCUUGGGAUUGCCCCUAACCAGAUGUAGGACCUUGCACAUGGCCUUGUUGAAACUCAUGAGGUUUGCAUAGACCCACCUCUCAAGCCUGUCCAGGUCCCUCUGGAUGGCAUCCCUUCCCUCCAGUGUAUCAACCGCACCACACAGCUUGUAUUCAUCAGCAACCUGG